GACGAACGCUGGCGGCGUGCUUAACACAUGCAAGUCGAACGGUAACAGGCCCUUCGGGUGCUGACGAGUGGCGGAUGGGUGAGUAAUACUUAGGAAUCUACCCUGUAGUGGGGGACAACCCGGGGAAACUCGGGCUAAUACCGCAUACGCUCUACGGAGGAAAGCGGGGGACCGGCAAGGCCUCGCGCUAUUGGAUGAGCCUAAGCCCGAUUAGCUAGUUGGUGGGGUAAUAGCCUACCAAGGCAAUGAUCGGUAGCUGGUCUGAGAGGACGACCAGCCACACUGGGACUGAGACACGGCCCAGACUCCUACGGGAGGCAGCAGUGGGGAAUAUUGGACAAUGGGCGAAAGCCUGAUCCAGCGAUGCCGCGUGUGUGAAGAAGGCCUGCGGGUUGUAAAGCACUUUCAGUAGGGAAGAAAUAGCUU
rnacentral:rRNA from 1 species